GUUCAGGAAAAAAGACCUGGCAAGAUGCAAGGUGACCAUUGAGAUGCUUGGCCAGCAGCCUUGAGAUGAAAUCACACACCACACACACACACACACACACACACACACACACACACACACACACACACACACACACACACUGUGAGGUAGGGGGUUGCUUGGUACCCUUUGUCCACAAACAGGUUGAGUCCUGCAAAGAAGAUCAGAGAUGCCUUUUACAAGGUACAGAGAGAAAGCAGAACUGACUGGAAGCCAAGGUGAUGAGAGAGUCGUGGGUUGCCAUCAGAGCGCACAUACAUCAGACAGACCUGGCGCACACAAAAGUCACUUUUGCCAGGUGAUUUGUGGACUGGCUCUGUGAUUUACCAACUCUCCACUAGAUGCUACACCAAGACCAGCAAACCUUUAAUGAAAUCCAAUCAAGUUUAAGUGUUUGGAAAUCUGGAAUGGAGCCACCACUGAAAGCAAACACUGGUUGCAUUAUGCUAGAUGCUGGGGAUGCAAAAGAAAAGGUUACCUACAUGGUGUCUCUGCCUUUAGACUAUAGUCAAGAUUGCACAAGCCUGAACAGCUACUACUAUAAAGGAGUUUGGAGCAUGGAAGCUGCUAUUUCAAAAGGAGGAGAUGCAGUCCUACAAUCAAAAUUACUUUAGUAAGAGUCUAUAGGAGAAAACUGGAUCUUCAAUGAAGUGGAUGAAUUCUAAGCAUUGCUCCAGAAAAAGCUAAAGAUUAGAAACUUUGAAAUGCAAACCACAAGAGUCUAGAGAAGCCAAAAAAAAAAAGGAAAAUACAGCUGAGCAAUCAGAAGAGGAUGA
rnacentral:lncRNA from 1 species